rnacentral:misc_RNA from 1 species
GUGAAUCAUCGAAUCUUUGAACGCAAAUUGCGCUUCCUGGCAUCCCGGGAAGUAUGCCUGUUUGAGGGUCAGUAUUAACAAAAAAUCGGUUUGGUUGCAAAUUGUGACGUUUCCGGAGUUUGGGCUAUCUUAACUUUUUGGUUUAGGGGCCUAAAAUUGAACCUUUUUGCGGCUUUUUUGACGUAAAUUAAUUUUUUUUUUUUUUGUUCGUUUUUAUGCCUAAAAUUCCUUUUAAUGCG